GUGAAACUUAGAUAUAUUAAUACAAUAAAUAUCCGCCUGGGGACUACGAGCGCCAGCUUAAAACCCAAAGGACUUGGCGGUGCUUCAGACCCCCCUAGAGGAGCCUGUUCUAGAACCGAUAACCCCCGUUCAACCUCACCACUCCUUGCCCCUCCCGCCUAUAUACCACCGUCGCCAGCUUACCCUGUGAAGGUAAUACAGUAAGCAGAAUGAGCACUCCUCAGAACGUCAGGUCGAGGUGUAGCGUACGAAGUGGGAAGAAAUGGGCUACAUUAUCUGAAACAGAUUAUUCACGGAAGGCCCUCUGAAACCGGAGGCCCGAAGGUGGAUUUAGCAGUAAAGAGGGAAUAGAGAGCCCUCUUGAAGCCGGCUCUGAAGCGCGCACACACCGCCCGUCACUCUCCCCAAUAACUACUUAAAUACAAGUAAAUAACACAAUAGCUGAUACAAGGGGAGGCAAGUCGUAACAUGGUAAGUGUACCGGAAGGUGCACUUGGAAUAAU
rnacentral:rRNA from 1 species